UACGGAGGGUGCUAGCGUUGUUCGGAAUCAUUGGGCGUAAAGAGCGUGUAGGCGGUCCGGUCAGUCGGUUGUGAAAGUCAAGGGCUCAACCCUUGAAUGCCGGCCGAUACUGCCGGGCUAGAGUCCGGAAGAGGUGAGUGGAAUUCCUGGUGUAGCGGUGAAAUGCGCAGAUAUCAGGAGGAACACCGAUGGCGAAGGCAGCUCACUGGGACGGUACUGACGCUGAGACGCGAAAGCGUGGGGAGCAAACAGG
rnacentral:rRNA from 1 species